AAACCAACAGGGAUUGCCCUAGUAACGGCGAGUGAAGCGGCAAAAGCUCAAAUUUGAAAUCUGGCUGUAAUGGUCCGAGUUGUAAUUUGUAGAGGAAUGUUCGGCGAAGCCUAGGUCUGAGUCUUCUGGAAGGAAGCGCCUUUGAGGGUGACAGCCCCGUAUGACUGAUGGCUGAACCAUGUGUACAUCCUUCGACGAGUCGAGUUGUUUGGGAAUGCAGCUCAAAGCGGGUGGUAAAUUCCAUCUAAAGCUAAAUAUUGGCCAGAGACCGAUAGCGCACAAGUAGAGUGAUCGAAAGAUGAAAAGCACUUUGGAAAGAGAGUGAAACAGUACGUGAAAUUGUUGAAAGGGAAGCGCUUGCGAGCAGACUUGAUUUUGGCAUUCAGCGGUUCGCGUGGACCGUGUAUUUUGUCAGUAACAAGCCAGCAUCAGCUUCCGGGGUUGGAUAAAAGCAUUGGGAAUGUAGCUUUGCCUCGGUCGAGUGUUAUAGCCCUUUGCAGAAUACAGCCACUGGAGACUGAGGACCGCCUUUUUUGUAGGAUGCUGGCGUAAUGGUUGCAAGCGGC
rnacentral:rRNA from 1 species